rnacentral:misc_RNA from 1 species
AUUUUCUUCAGGGUCUUCUUCCCAAGAUAUUCCUUUGCUUAUACCUCAGGAAGCUGAAGGGGCGGAAAGUUUCAAGGAAGAACUAAAAAUAAAUGGUUUCCAUACAGGGCAUGGUUUUCAUGAUCAGCGUAGCAGGUCUAGCAGAAUCCCUUUCUCUUUCCGGAAGACCCGCGUAGAACCUUUAGCUCCAGAUUUGCCAAUGAAAGGAUUUGUGGACGAGUUGGAUCAAAACCUGGAGCUAUCAUCAAAUCUGGCGCAGCCUGGCAUGAAGAAGUUGGACAAGGAUUGGUGGGAGAAACAAGAGAGAGGCAAUCAAGUUGUUUCACCUGAAGAAAAUGGGCAAGUUGGUCCUCGUGUUUCAUGUCGUUGCCAGAUUAUAAGGAGUGUCAGUCA